rnacentral:rRNA from 1 species
AUUGAACGCUGGCGGCAUGCUUUACACAUGCAAGUCGAACGGUAACAGGCCGCAAGGUGCUGACGGGUGGCGAACGGGUGAGUAAUGCAUCGGAACGUGCCCAGUCGUGGGGGAUAACGCAGCGAAAGCUGCGCUAAUACCGCAUACGAUCUAUGGAUGAAAGCGGGGGACCGUAAGGCCUCGCGCGAUUGGGGCGGCCGAUGUCAGAUUAGGUAGUUGAUGGGGUAAGGGCUUACCAAGGCUGCGAUCCGUAGCUGGUCUGAGAGGACGAUCAGCCACACUGGGGAUAAUACACGGCCCAAACUCCUACGUGAGGCAGGAGUGGGGAAGCGUGCGCAAUGGGCGAAAGCCUGACGCAGCGAUGCGGCGUGGGGGAAGAAGGCCUUCGGGUUGUAGACCUCUUUCAGGAGGGACGAAGCCACUCGUGUUAAUGGCCCAGAGGGUGACGGUACCUCCAGAAGAAGCCCCGGCUAACUACGUGCCAGCCGCCGCGGUAAUAC